rnacentral:rRNA from 1 species
AUUGAACGCUGGCGGCAGGCCUAACACAUGCAAGUCGAGCGGAUGGAGGGAGCUUGCUCCUGGAUUCAGCGGCGGACGGGUGAGUAAUGCCUAGGAAUCUGCCUGGUAGCGGGGGAUAACGUCCGGAAACGGGCGCUAAUACCGCAUACGUCCUGAGGGAGAAAGUGGGGGAUCUUCGGACCUCACGCUAUCAGAUGAGCCUAGGUCGGAUUAGCUAGUUGGUGGGGUAAAGGCCUACCAAGGCGACGAUCCGUAACUGGUCUGAGAGGAUGAUCAGUCACACUGGAACUGAGACACGGUCCAGACUCCUACGGGAGGCAGCAGUGGGGAAUAUUGGACAAUGGGCGAAAGCCUGAUCCAGCCAUGCCGCGUGUGUGAAGAAGGUCUUCGGAUUGUAAAGCACUUUAAGUUGGGAGGAAGGGCAGUAAGUUAAUACCUUGCUGUUUUGACGUUACCAACAGAAUAAGCACCGGCUAACUUCGUG